GACGAACGCUGGCGGCGUGCUUAACACAUGCAAGUCGAACGAUGAACCCGGAGCUUGCUCCGGCGGAUUAGUGGCGAACGGGUGAGUAACACGUGAGUAACCUGCCCUUGACUCUGGGAUAACUGCGGGAAACUGUAGCUAAUACCGGAUACGACCCUCGGCGGCAUCGCCAGGGGGUGGAAAGAAUUUCGGUCAAGGAUGGACUCGCGGCCUAUCAGCUAGUUGGUGAGGUAACGGCUCACCAAGGCGACGACGGGUAGCCGGCCUGAGAGGGUGACCGGCCCGACUGGGACUGAGACACGGCCCAGACUCCUACGGGAGGCAGCAGUGGGGAAUAUUGCACAAUGGGCGCAAGCCUGAUGCAGCAACGCCGCGUGAGGGAUGACGGCCUUCGGGUUGUAAACCUCUUUUAGUAGGGAGGAAGCGAAAGUGACGGUACCUGCAGAAAAAGCACCGGCUAACUACGUGCCAGCAGCCGCCGUAA
rnacentral:rRNA from 1 species